CAGCUACUCUUCUGCCGCGGCUUUCUUACUUCUUUUCUCUUCUCGGCUUAUUUGGGUUGGCUUCUUUGCCCACGACUGUCACUCUCCACCAAAGACAGAGGAUCCGAUGCAGGAGGCAGACAGAGCUGGGCUUCAACGCCAUGCCACUUGCUGUAGCUGGAGCCUUAUCUGAAAAGGUGAGAGGGACCACGUCAGCCUGCAGACCCACCCACCAACCACUUAAGGUCAAGACAACAAGCUCUUCCCAAGGCAAACCAACCCUAGGACAAAAAUAGAGCCAUCAUUCUGACCCAUUGUCCUUCCGACCAAUUCCUUGGCUUCCCAGCCAUUUGGAAACCUCACUGGGAAGUUUGGAGACCUGUGCUUGCAGGCUGGCCUGGCACAGACAGGCCAGGGUCAGCAGCCCAAAUAAACAUGGUGCCCCACAGAGAUGGUCCCGCAGCCAAACAGCUCUCAGCAGCUUGACUCAAAGUCACCUGGACAGGCCUGACGGAAAUGCAGGAUGGCCCAGCCUUUCCCUAAUGGGUUUUCCAGAGUCAAUCCAUCAUUCUGCCCAGAGAACUGGAGAAUGAAAAACAGAUCAGGUGCCACGGGACUGUGACCGCUUCCUUGGAAAUGGAAGCAGGUGAAGGAGAGAAUGACACAGCUGGGGGCCCUGGGGGAUGCUGGCAGGCAACGGGCUUCUGGGUUCAAGUGAGAAGGCUGAGACACUGGCAUGAACGAAAGCUGGCACAGGCUGCCCCGGGCAGGGCUCUUUCUGGGCACCAGGCAAGGCCCGCGGCUUUGGGAGCUGCCCCAAGCCGGCGGUCCUGCCAGCGCUCCAUUCACCCUGUGCAAUGUAUUAAUUAGCAAGCGGUUUUGGCGCUGGGAAGGUUGCCGUGGCUUCUGAUGAAUAUAACAGAAAAGAGGCAAGUCCAUCCACAGGCACCUCUGAGGAUUCUCAGCUCUCGAGUGCCUGAGAGGAACUUCCACUAGAGAGAAGGCUGGAGUGGGAUGACCCCUGCCGGGGGCGGAUGCACUUGUGGAGCUGGGUCUGGCAGGAGAAGUGGGGUGGAGAGCAGAGACUGCAGGCCUGUCCCCCACCCCCAGCUCUCAGUUACAGCUCGUUUGGCUUCAGCUGUGCUUUUAACCUCUCAGGAGGUAGAUGGAAGCCUGCAGUCGGCGUGCGCCUUCCUCUUCGCUGCCCGGACGGGGCCUGGAUCCUUUCUAACUGUGAGUACAGAAGGAGGACACCUCCCGUUUGGAUCCUGGAUUGUAGGCCAGGUCUACCUAGAAGCCAAUCACUCAAGGGACGGCUCAACGGUUCACUAAGGACAGCGUGGGAGGAAAACGUGGCCCAGCCUGAUAGAUAUCUCAGUCUUUUCACCCAGACCGACGCCAGCAAAGCUAAAAAUAAAUCAGCUUUCAGGUCUGGGCACAGAGGCCUGGAAGGCGCAAGCGUUCAUGAGCCAGCAGUAAUGAUGGAACCAGCCCUCUCGUGUGGAAGUCUCUCUGAGUGAACCAGAUGUCGUUGGCCCUAGGAGAUCCACGACCAAGAGUUGAGUUUUCACAGCGUUGAAAGGCCAGCAUUGGCCCUAACGCUAUUGGCCUCAGCAGAAGUCAGGAGCAAGAGUGAAGACCUAAUGAAGAGAGAGAGAGGCUGGAGAGUCUGGACAGAAACCUGCGAGCCUUAGAUUCUCAUGCUGUCUCAUCAAGCGCAGGGCCCAGCUUUUCAUCCAGUGAAGGGUUCCAUGCAGCCCAGAACCACCAUGGCCUUGGAGAAGAGGCUCAGAAGCAGGAGUCAGGAAGCAGAAGCCCUGGCCACUUUGUGGUUGUAGAGUCAUCAUCUAGAAGAGAGAACCAUGAAAUGUAUGUGUAGAAAGACAGCUGGCCUCUCUUCCCACAGGAGUUAACGAUCCAGAGGGGAAGACGAUUUGAGCUCUUUACAGACCCGCGUUAUACAUGACUGGCUGCUGAUCCAUCUCCUUCUCGCUGACCAGGACGAGGAAACUGACUGACAUCGUCAAGCAGCAGCAGUGAAGAUGCAGCGUAGACUUUCUGGACAGACCGGUUGCCAAGAACCAAACUGUGGAAGGAGUAAUAAGUAUUCAUUUAACACCCAGUUAUAUAACACAUAUAUAUCAUAUAACAGAGUUAUAUGAUAGGCACUCUGGGGUAAAAAAAUAAAAAUCACCGAACCGACUCUUAACCUCAAUUUGGGUAUUGAAGAAAGGAUUGUCUUGCCUUGCACAUAGUAGGCAUUUAGUAAAUGUUGAAUUGAAGAAUAUAAUCGAACGGUGAUUCAGCUGAGGGAAGGCCUACACAGAGGAAGGGGGAUCUCAAAUCUCUUCCAAAACUGUAAGAAUGACAAGGCAGGAUGUUCUGUGCAAGGCUGGAGUCACAGCUUUCAAAGACAAUUCAAAUGCUACGUGGUCAAGGCACAAGGGGAAAAACAGCCUCUUGAAUCCCUAAUUGUUUACUUCCUUAAGAGAGUAAGUUUAGCUGGCGGCAUGGAGCUUAUUCAUUCAUUCAUUCAUUCACUUACUCAUCCUGUAAUUAUGAAGCAGUUCUAUAUACUAGGUGCUGGGCUCAGCACUAAGGGUAGAGCAGUUGAAAUAAGAUGAACAGUUUCUUGUCCUCAGGAAGCCUCUAGUCCAGGGAGGAAGUCAGACAUUGAAAAUAGAUGUUCCAGCUGUGAUGAAUGGAUCGAUAGGGGCAAUCAAAGUGCUAUGGAUAUCAUUUGUCGUGUACUGCAAGUUUAUUAACCUAGGAAUAGAUUCAAACAUUGUCAUGUACAUAUUGUGACCAUGACUUUGCAAAUGAACUUUUAACAAACAUAUUGAGACUUAUGCAUAUAAAUAAGUGUUUUUUCCAACAAAGACUCACUUUGGAAGCCCGUGUUCAUAUUUCAAUGAUACUUUUCUGGUUACUGGAUGCUGAGAAAAUACAGACUGACAUCCACUUAACUGAGGUACAGGGGGACGCUGGACCACAAUGGGGAGGAGGUGCUGAAAGCCUCAGAGACCAGCUGGAUGUGCUUUCUCAGAUGUCAGGCUGCACCAGUGUACAUCGCACCCAUCAGGUCAGCCACAGGACCUCAGAAUGUCCAAGCAGUAUCAAGAGGAGCCUUGGAGGUCAUCUGCUUCCGUCUCCUUAUAUGUAGAUGAGGAAAUAGGUUAAGGACGUUUUUGAGGUCACACAGCAUACCGGCAGCCGGCUGUCUUAGACCCAAAUUCUCCUGAAUUGGUUUCCUCUCCAUCCCUGCUUCUUAGGCACCUCAGACACCUGAAAUUGUUACCAACCAUUGCACACAUUCGAUGCAGAAGUUUCGAAAUGGAAGCCUAUGGGCUGUAUCCGGCAUGCAUAGCUGAUCUUAGUUGCCUGCAAAGUAUAAACAUUGAGAUGAUAUUUCAAAAAUCAGGAGAUAUUUACAUAAACAUUCAGAAUCUUAGCUUCUCUUGAAAAUAUAGAAAACACUGGAACACCAAGACAAAAAUCAUCAGAAGCCAGGUUUUUCUCCAUAUUAACCACAAUCGUGCAUAUUCACUUGUAAGAGUUACACUAACAAGAGUUAGCUGAUGGCUCUGUGAGACUUGCUUGCUACCUCUGGUAAGUGUGUGCUUCAGGGUCCCCACCAAACUUCUAUCACAUCCCCAGUCCACUUGUCCUCACUCUAAAUGAGGCCAGUGCCCUACCCUCCGAAUUUAGCCAAGCCCAUUCACUACCGUCUCCAAUGCCUCUCGUACUGGUCCUCUCCUCCUGCCCUCUGCAGGGACCCAUCUUCCUAUUUGUGGAAGAUGUUCCCCCUUCUAUUUAAUAUUUCUACCAAACUGCUUUUUUCUUCAGCAUCCCCAGUAACACUUUGGCAGAGGACAUUAAACCAUAAUUCAUGGGUAGUCUUCAGGAAGACAGAAAAUUCUCAAAAUUUGUAUGCAAAAUUUUGAGUGCAUGUAUAUUUUUAAAGGAAACUGUCC
ensembl:lncRNA